UGACACUUCUCAUAGCCUUCCCAAGGAAGCAACCACUUGACGGGCUCGGCUGCUGUUUAAGGAGAUCCCAGGGAACGUUUUCACCAAAGACAGUUUUCAAAACUUUGGACAAUUUAAAGCAGGAUUUGCUAAGCUGCUGUUGCUGUUCCGACUGUCUGGUCAUCCCAACCACAAGCUAGCAACGCUAUGUCACAAGGACAAGAUGCGAAAGAUGCAGCUUGCCAAACAGAUGCUCCGAGUGUGUCAUCUCGGGGGACACAACUGUCUCAUAAGACAUCAAGACCGCACAUAUCAUACAAGCCACAACGGAAGACAGCCAAGGGGAA